CCCGCAACCGAAUUUGUAAUGGAGGAGAAUUAAUUUUUAGGGUUGUUGCAUGUCAUACAUUAUUAAUUAAUGUAUGUUUAGGUGGCUACAUGUUUAGAGGUGUAAUUAUAUUGUGUUUUGUGUGUGUGUGUAUAAAGGAGAUUUUUUUUUGGGUGGGCCCCCCACUUGGACUUUGGUCAUUAUGAUGACCAAAUGGUCAUCUCUUCUCUCUCACGCAGCUCCUUCUCCCCUCAUUUUCUAAUUUUCUUUUUCUUUUCAUUACACAAACAAACUUAGAUCUCUCCUUAUAUCUUAAGAAUUUGACUUUGUCACUAAAGGCAAAGUCGACGAGCACGACAAGAGCUUCAUUUUGAUAAGAGCAAAGUCCAAUUUGAAGCAUUUUGGAAUUUUAAGCUUGAGACUAUUUUUGGGGCUUUUCUUCUAAAAUUGAGGACAUGUAAAAGAAGUGGCGGACGACAAUCCACCACAAGCUUAGACGGAUUGAAAGGGACUUGGACUUCUUUUGUAAUUGCUGCAUUUGUUUCCAUGUUGUUGUAAAUUUGUAUCAAGUGGCAUGUUGUAUCUAUAUCAUGGGUAGAAUAGGUUUUGAGACCAUCCUCGUGUAAUUCGAGGUCUCAUUAGGAUUUUAGUGUACAUUUAAGGCCUUAAGGCCAUAUUUUAAUGUAAUUGGACUUGUUUGUCUUUAAACAA